rnacentral:rRNA from 1 species
CUGACUGCUAUCGGAUUGGUACUAAGCCAUGCGAGUCAUAGUAGCAAUACAAGCCGGACGGCUCAGUAACACGUAGUCAACCUAACUCGUGGACGUGGAUAACCUCGGGAAACUGAGAAUAUACCUCGAUAGAUCAUAGUUCCUGGAAUGGCUUAUGGUCCAAACAGUUCACUGCCAUGGUGAUGGGACUGCGGCCUAUCAGCUUGUUGGUGAGGUAAUGUCCCACCAAGGCGAUUACAGGUACGGGUUCUGAGAGGAGUAGCCCGGAGAUGGGUACUGAGACACGGACCCAGGCCCUAUGGGGCGCAGCAGGCGAGAAACCUUAGCAAUGUGCGAAAGCACGACUGGGUCAGUCCGAGUGAUUCCUGAUAAAGGAGUCUUUUGCCUGUCCUAAAAGCACAGGUGAAUAAGGGGUGCCAAGUCUGGUUCAGCCGCCGCGGUAAUACCAGCACCUCGAGUGGUCAGGACGUUUAUUGGGCCUAAAGCAUCCGUAGCCGGCUCUGCAAGUCUUCGGUUAAAUCCACCUGCUCAACAGAUGGGCCGCGGGAGAUACUACAGAGCUAGGGAGUGGGAGAGGCAGACGGUAUUCAGUGGGUAGGGGUAAAAUCCUCUGAUCCAUUGAGGACCACCAGUGGCGAAGGCGGUCUGCCAGAACACGUUCGACGGUGAGGGAUGAAAGCUGGGGGAGCAAACCGGAUUAGAUACCCGGGUAGUCCCAGCUGUAAACGAUGCAAACUCGGUGAUGCAUUGGCUUAUGGCCAAUGCAGUGCCGCAGGGAAGCCGUUAAGUUUGCCGCCUGGGAAGUACGGACGCAAGUCUGAAACUUAAAGGAAU